UGGGGAAUUUUCCGCAAUGGGCGAAAGCCUGACGGAGCAAUACCGCGUGAGGGAAGAAUGCCUAUGGGUUGUAAACCUCUUUUUUCAGGGAGGAACCAAAUGACGUGUACCUGAAGAAUAAGCAUCGGCUAACUCCGUGCCAGCAGCCGCGGUAAGACGGAGGAUGCAAGUGUUAUCCGGAAUCACUGGGCGUAAAGCGUCUGUAGGUGGUUUAAUAAGUCAACUGUUAAAUCUUGACGGCUCAACUUUAAAAUCGCAGUCGAAACUAUUAGACUAGAGUAUAGUAGAGGUAAAGGGAAUUUCCAGUGGAGCGGUGAAAUGCGUAGAUAUUGGAAAGAACAGCGAUGGCGAAAGCACUUUACUGGGCUAUUACUAACACUCAGAG
rnacentral:rRNA from 1 species